GUUGUCGUGGCUGAGUGGUUAAGACGAUGGAUUAGAAAUCCAUUGGUGUUACUUCGCGCAGGUUCAAAUCCUGCAGAUAACG